GAAUGUCACUGAAGCACAUGUUCACAUACCCAAAAUAAUUGUGCUAUUAAUGUUCAAGCUAAUGGUCUAUUUACCUUAAUCUGGUAAAUAACCUUAAAAAGGAUCUGAAGAGAUACAAGGAGAAAAAUAAAAAUGAGAGAGAUGAUGCUUUUAUCGUAUUUUGCUCGAGCUAAGACUGAGAUGCAUCCAAAGACAUAAUCACCAGUUUCAGAUUCUAACAGAAAAGACUUAAGCUACCAAGUAUGAAAUUACUUUUCCCUGCCAUAACAAUAUAAUCAAUUUUCCACUAGAAAAGUCAUCUAAAUAAACAAAACCAAUCACCGAGGCAUAUGCAGGCAUACAUGUCCAGAUUGAAGUAAUGCCCUCAAGGCAGGAUCACAAAAAUCUUUUCAGGUUCAGUAAUUUUUAUUGAGUGGGUCAAAACAAAACCCACGUUGAAUUUCUAUGCUUGUGGAGCCUCAGCUUACAGCAAGAGAGUGAACUAAAUGGUGAAAGUAGCUAUCGUCCACCUUCUAUAUCAUCCUAACAAUAACAUUCUUGCCUCAAGAAAAAGCCUUUCAGGAGUUCAAGCACUAAUUCCACUGUUCAAUAAGGUAUUGAUCUCGCCAAUUAUAUGAACAGGCCUUCCAUCAAACAUGGAUGAAAGUGUGCUCUCACAAAGCCUCUUCAGCUCCCUGGUUUUUGCAAGAGCUGCUUCCUGCUUUGGCCAUGAUGAAGAUAAAGAAUUGUGAAGUUCCAUGCGUUUAGCAGCCAAGUCCUUCAAUCCCUCUUUUAACUUCAGCUCGUGAUGCUUCUUUUCCUCCAAUGUACUUACUAGUCUGUCCAGAAAUCUUUUGGAGUUGAGAAUCAUGAUCAAGUCUAAUGUUUUACGAUUUGUCAGCAAGGAAAUUGCCAAGGAAACAUCAGACAACAUUGUCUCGAUGGCAUCAGGAGUGUACUGCUGCAGCACAAAAGGAGCAACUGACUGGACUUGAUGUUGCAAGGACAAAGUUUCUCCACUUCUCAACUCAGCCAAUCGUUGGCUCAAAAAUGCUUUGAUCUCAUACAAAUCAUCAAGGAGUUUAUUCCUGUACUCAGUCUCCAAGAGUUGGCUCCUGUCUUCCUUCACUCCUGGAUUUUGAGUUAAAGAAUCUGGAAUAUGUGUCUGAUUUUCCACGCUGACAUUGGGCAAAUUGACAUCAUCAAUCACAUCCACCUGAGGUGUUUCAACGCUAAUAUCCCAAGAUAUACCUGACACAGAAAUCUCUGGAUGCAAGCUGUCUGCCCCUUUAUUUAAUGGGGCUUGAUCAGAUUCUAUAGCUUCAUUUUGUGAUGAAUUCUGUAUGAUGUCACUAGCAUUCACAAUUUCGUAAGGACCCAAACCAUUACCACCAUCAUCUGUUUCUUCCACAGCACCAAUAUCCCAAUCAAUCUGAGUGCUAUCAACAGAAAUAUCCCAGUCAAUAUUAUCUGCAGUAAAAUCCCCAUCCUGUCUCACAUGGCUUGAUUCAUCAUAACUUAAUUCAACAUUUUCAGCAUCAAGGAUAUCCAGGCCAGCAGAAACAUUUAGAGAAGGGGGAUUUUCAUGAAUAUUUUUCAAGUUCGACAACACCGUCCAUGAAGAUUUCUGCAGUUGCAUUUCCAAGUUGAAUUAAGUAUGAAAUAAAUUGAUAUAAUCAACCUUCAUUUGCAUAAAAUGGGCACAAGUCUUUUUUUUUUCCCUUCCAACUACCUAAGUAUUUUCGACAUGAUCCCUAAAAGAUAAUUACAUGCAAUGGAGGAUUUAAACAAUGAAAUAUUAAACAAUUGGCACACUUGGGUCACUAGAAAAGAAUAAAUAUCAUAAUAAAUGAAAACUUAGACAACACAAUCUUAAAUAGCUAGUCAUCUAAUUAUCCUAUUUAUGCUGAGUUAAUAAUCAAUAUGACAAGUGAGGCCCAUAGCUGGCACACAAAUCAAGGUGAUGGAACCCAACUAAGCCCAUUUAAUAGAUUGACCAAUGAAAAAAGGACACGCAUCAAGUAGGACCCAUAAAAACCAAUUUAAAAAGACAACUAAAAUAAAAGUAAACUAAUGCUUCAUUUGUUUCACAGAAAUAAUUUUGCUAUGGAGGCAAAUAUUUUCUAAGAAAAUGGCAUUCUAAUUUCUAUUGUUUAGUUGCAAUAUUAAAAAUCAGUUGGAAACUAUUUUCUAGCCUUUAGAGUGCACUGGAAACUAUUCAUUUUCAUUCAAGUAUUUAAGACUAUGAAAAUGUUAGAACAUAAAAGAACUUCACAAUUUCUAUUUAAAGAUGGUUGGGAAAAGAGUAAAUUGUGGUAGUCACUGGUGACCAAAUGCAACUGCUGGGUGGAUGGUGACAACCAGGGAUGAUCAGGAGCAAUCAAUAGACUAACGGGUAUAUGCUUUUGUUUUUCCCUUAUACAUUUUAUGCCCUUAUAAUUAAUAUAAUUAUGUUGGUAUCAAAAAUUUACAAUGGCUUGAGGAAAUAAUGAAGUAAGUAUUAACGACCUCACAAAAUAGAGAUAUAAUUAUCAAAUUUGAUUGCUUGGUUCCAAGAAAAGUGACACUAAAAUUGUCUCACAGCAUGCCAGUCCAAGACUUGAGACUUUUAAAGUUUCAUUUUUUUUAAAUGAGGGCAGCAAGGCCACUUCUCAAGCUGCCAUGUCACCCUCUACUUGAUUGCCCUGCUUGCUUGAACCGGCAAUGGGUCCACUGAUUCACCAAUUACCCAAACAGCUAGAGCAGGUUUGGUGGCUUCUAAGGGAGGAGGAAAAAGAGGAGGGGGGGUGGUGUUGGGGUUUGGCACUCUUGUGCAGCAGACUGGCAGGAAACUAGGCUGGUUUCCAGUUUUCCCAGACCAGGUCUGAAAUCCUUGCUUGAGAGAACAGAGGGGGGAAAAGAAUGACAUUGCCUUACAUCAUUUUCAGUGUGAACAUCUUUGACAAAAGUGGAAUAAUACUCUAUCGCCCGCAGCAUAGAAUCACUAUUUAUAACUUCUAGAAUCCUGCUAAAAGUGCUUGGAAGCAAUUUUGCAGUCUCCAAGAGUUCAGACCUGACAUUGUUUCCCUGCAAUCCAAGCUCUUGACAAGCCUCAACAUACUUAGCUGCUGAAAGAGAUGCACUUCUUUUUAUGUCAGCCUCCUUGCGAUCUAGUUCUGCCAGUUGUUGCUGGAUCUUCUGUACUUGCUUUUUCUGAUAUGGUAUUUCAUAAUUUACAUUUUGAAUUAUUAUUUGGGCAGCCUCACCUAGGUAGAUAUAGUCUUUCUCAAAAGAAUGCACAAUUGCCUCCCAAGCACCAGCAGCACCUGAUAGCCGGCCAAAUAUAUUCCGGCUUUCUGGAGUUGUUUUCACAAGAAUAUCAUAAAUUUUCUUGGCCUCUAAGUACCCUAUCCCUUCAGGGUCCAGAGUUUGGAAAUAGGUAUCGAUAUCCUUAGGCAGAGAAUAGAACUCCUUGGAAAUUCGAGCUCUGACAGCGGAAAUCCGUUUUCUCCAAUCGGCCGGAAUUCUCUUCCGAUCAACCAGCCAUUCUUCCAAUCCAAGAAAUUAAAGGAAAAGAAAUCAAAACAGGAAAGAAGAAAUCAAAAGGCUAGCAUCGAAUGAUGGUGAAAGGAGGAUACCUCCGAGACGAGAAAAGGUGAUAUCGAUAGGAAGAUUUCGAAUGUCCUCUGGAGUCUGCAUUUCUUGAUUUUACACACACA
rnacentral:misc_RNA from 1 species